rnacentral:rRNA from 1 species
UACAGGGGGGGCAAGCGUUGUUCGGAAUUACUGGGCGUAAAGGGUCUGUAGGUGGCCAACUAAGUCAGACGUGAAAUCCCUCAGCUUAACUGGGGAACUGCGUCUGAUACUGGAUGGCUUGAGUGUGGGAGAGGAAUGCGGAAUUCCAGGUGUAGCGGUGAAAUGCGUAGAUAUCUGGAGGAACACCGGUGGCGAAGGCGGCAUUCUGGACCAUAACUGACGCUGAUGCACGAAAGCUGGGGGAGCAAACAGG